UACGAAGGGGGCUAGCGUUGUUCGGAAUCACUGGGCGUAAAGGGCGCGUAGGCGGCUUUAUAAGUCGGGGGUGAAAGCCUGUGGCUCAACCACAGAAUUGCCUUCGAUACUGAUUGGCUUGAGACCGGAAGAGGUCAGUGGAACUGCGAGUGUAGAGGUGAAAUUCGUAGAUAUUCGCAAGAACACCAGUGGCGAAGGCGGCUGACUGGUCCGGUUCUGACGCUGAGGCGCGAAAGCGUGGGGAGCAAACAGG
rnacentral:rRNA from 1 species